GGUCCUUGAUGUGUAGGAUAGGUGGGAGGCUUUGAAGCGUGGACGCCAGUCUGCGUGGAGCCAUCCUUGAAAUACCACCCUUUAAUGGCUGGUGUUCUAACGUAGACCCGUAAUCCGGGUUGCGGACAGUGUCUGGUGGGUAGUUUGACUGGGGCGGUCUCCUCCCAAAGAGUAACGGAGGAGCACGAAGGUUGGCUAAUCCUGGUCGGACAUCAGGAGGUUA
rnacentral:rRNA from 1 species